CCUACGGGUGGCAGCAGUGAGGAAUAUUGGUCAAUGGGCGGAAGCCUGAACCAGCCAAGCAGCGUGCAGGAUGACGGCCCUACGGGUUGUAAACUGCUUUUGUACGGGGAUAAAACCAGUUACGUGUACCUCUCUGCAUGUACCGUAUGAAUAAGGACCGGCUAACUCCGUGCCAGCAGCCGCGGUAAUACGGAGGAUCCGGGCGUUAUCCGGAUUUAUUGGGUUUAAAGGGUGCGUAGGCGGCAUGUGAAGUGAGCGGUGAAAUCUCCGGGCUCAACCCCGGCCUUGCCGCUGAAACUGGCGGGCUUGAGAGGGCGGAAGGCAGGCGGAAUGCGUGGUGUAGCGGGGAAAUGCUUAGAUAUGACGAAGAACCCCGAUUGCGAAGGCAGCUUACCGGAGCGGAACUGACGCUGAGGCACGAAAGCGUGGGUAUCGAACAGGAUUAGAUACCCGGGUAGUC
rnacentral:rRNA from 1 species